rnacentral:lncRNA from 1 species
GGGGUGGGCGGCAGGGCGAGGCCCGGGGGAUCUAAGGCCGCACCAACGCACUGCAUUCCCGACUCCGCACCGACACCCCCCGGAAGACCCCCAGGAACCUGGGGGCCUCCGGGGAGCCCGGUGGACCGCCGCGGGGAGCCGUCCCGGGAGGCGCGUGGGCUCCGCUCCUCCGGCGCGGCUAGCCGCGCUCGGGGCGCACCCGGGCGCCCGCUGCCGCCCGGGGCUGUGCGGCUGCAGGUGCCCGGCGGGCGGGUUCCCGGAAUCGGGGCGGGCGUGGGGGUAGGGGUCCCUGCGUUUCGGGGAACCUCGUUAGCCCUCCUCCCGGGCCUGGCUCCUCCUCCUCCAGGCGUAGGGCUCGUGCCCGCCACAGCCUGCGCGCACCGCGCCUCCGCUCGCGUACCCCCUCCCCGCCUGCUCGUCCAACGUUUCUCCCUCCUUCUCUUCCUCCUCCUCCGCCCAUCACUGCCACUACGGACGCCUUCGCCUCCUUCUACUCCUCGCGCCGCCGCCGCCGCCGCUCCUCGCGCUUCUCUCCGGCUUCCAGCAGCCCUUCGCUCGCCGCUCGCGCGGCUGCUGCAGUCUCUCUCUUUCUCUCCAUUUCUCUCUCUCUCUCUCUCUCUCUCUCUCUUUCUCUCUCUCUCUUUCUCUCUCUCAAGUUUCCCAUCUCCUCAAGAUCAGGGCAAAGGAGGAAAACACCUAAUUCUGCUUGCUGUUUCAGGUAAGGUCGCACACGUUGGUCCCAACAGGCACCCUUUCCCAUUUGCCUCUGCCUCGCGUGCAUGCCUCCUCUCCCCCCACCCCACUCUCCGAUGCUCCCUGGAAACCGACGAGGUUCAGGUCGCCCCCUCCUCCCCAGUACAUUUAAAAAAUAAUUUCGAUACUCUUCGCCAGAAGCGUAUUUACAACUACACCGAGAUCCGAGACGGCCGCCCGGCAGCCCGUUCGCCUGGCUCUUUUAUAGUCUUCAACUUUGCACGCCGCGCUGCCCUGCCUGCCGGGCUGGAUCCGGCAGCCUCACGCUCCGGCUCGGCUUGUGGUGGUCGGCUCCGGAACAGCUGUCAAACGCGUCGUUUACGCAGCAGUUGA